rnacentral:rRNA from 1 species
CCCUUAGAUGUCCUGGGCCGCACGCGCGUUACACUGAUGCAUUCAACGAGCUUAUAACCUUGGCCGAGAGGCCUGGGCAAUCUUGUUAACGUGCAUCGUGAUAGGGAUAGAUUAUUGAAAUUAUUAAUCUUGAACGAGGAAUUCCUAGUAAACGCAGAUCAUCAAUCUGCAUUGAUUACGUCCCUGCCCUUUGUACACAUCGCCCGUCGCACCUACCGAUUGGAUGGUCCGGUGAAGCCUCGGGAUUGUGGUUCUUGCCGCUUUAUUGUGGCGUGACCGCGAGAACUUGUCUAAACCUUAUCAUCUAGAGGAAGGUGAAGUCGUAACA